ensembl:snoRNA SNORD62 Small nucleolar RNA SNORD62
UUUCACUGAUGUAAAUUCCAGUAGAUCUGUCUGAUUCUUCUUGUUGGACCAACAGCAGAGAGACAAAGAGGAUAGUGACUGAGACA